CACAUGCAGACCUUGAUACCUUUUUUGUGGCCCUCGACAACAUUUGAUGCUUCCCCUGCCCUCGUGUUGCCUUCCAAAAACUGAGUAAGUGAGGCUUUGGGAAGCAGGCUUGAGGGCUCUGACAAGGUUCUAGUCUUGCCUCCAUCCAAAAGCCUACUUAGCGCUUUCCCAGCUUUGGGAAGGCAGCACAAGGACUGGGGGGCACCAAAUUUUGCUGAGGGCCACCAAAAAAAGCACCAAGGGCCGCAUGUGC